AGCUCCAAUAGCGUAUACUUAAGUUGUUGUAGUUAAAAAUCUCAUAGUUGGACUUUGCGAUGGGCCGGCCGGUCCGCCUAUAGUGUGCACCGGUCGUCUCGUCCCUUCUGUCGGCGAUGCGCUCCUGGCCUUAAUUGGCCUAGUCGUGCCUCCGGUGCUGUUACUUUGAAGAAAUUAGAGUGAUCAAAGCAAGCCUACGCUCUGUAUACAUGAGCAUGGGAUAACAUUAUAGGAUUUCGGUCCUAUUACGUUGGCCUUCGGGUUCGGAGUAAUGAUUAACAGGGACAGUUGGGGGCAUUCGAAUUUCAUAGUCAGAGGUGAAAUUCUUGGAUUUAUGAAAGACAAACAACGGCGAAAGCAUUUGCCAAGGAUGUUUUAA
rnacentral:rRNA from 1 species